rnacentral:rRNA from 1 species
UACGGGGGGGGCAAGCGUUGUUCGGAAUUACUGGGCGUAAAGGGCUGGUAGGCGGCCAACUAAGUCGGAUGUGAAAUCCCCAGGCUUAACCUGGGAACUGCAUCCGAUACUGGUCGGCUUGAAUCCGGGAGAGGGAUGCAGAAUUCCAGGUGUAGCGGUGAAAUGCGUAGAUAUCGUAAGGAAGACCAGUGGCGAAGGCGGGUCUCUGGACAGUUCCUGACGCUGAGGCACGAAGGCCAGGGGAGCAAACGGG